GAUGAACGCUGGCGGCGUGCCUAAUACAUGCGAGUCGAGCGAACGGACGAGAAGCUUGCUUCUCUGAUGUUAGCGGCGGACGGGUGAGUAACACGUGGAUAACCUACCUAUAAGACUGGGAUAACUGCGGGAAACCGGAGCUAAUACCGGAUAAUAUUUUGAACCGCAUGGUUCAAAAGUGAAAGACGGUCUUGCUGUCACUUAUAGAUGGAUCCGCGCUGCAUUAGCUAGUUGGUAAGGUAACGGCUUACCAAGGCAACGAUGCAUAGACGACCUGAGAGGGUGAUCGGCCACACUGGAACUGAGACACGGUCCAGACUCCUACAGGAGGCAGCAGUAGGGAAUCUUCCGCACUGGGCGAAAGCCUGACGUAGCAACGCCGCGUGAAUGCUGAAGGUCUUCGGAUCGUAAAACUCUGUUAUUCGUGAAGAACAUACGUAUAAGUAACUGUGCACAUCUUGACGGUACCUAAUCAGAAAGCCACGGCUAACUACGUG
rnacentral:rRNA from 1 species